CCAAUAGCGUAUAUUAAAGUUGUUGCAGUUAAAAAGCUCGUAGUUGAAUUUCGGGAUCAAAUUGUCGGUCGUGCCUCGGUACGUACUGGUAUUAUUGGUUCCUCCCUUCUGACGAACCACGAUGUCAUUAAUUUGGUGUCAUGGGAAAUCAGGACUGUCACUUUGAAAAAAUUAGAGUGUUUAAAGCAGGCUCGCGCUUGAAUACAUUAGCAUGGAAUAAUGAAAUAGGACGUUUGAUUCUAUUUUGCUGGUUUCUAGGAUCGACGUAAUGAUUAAUAGGGAUAGUUGGGGGCAUUAGUAUUCAAUUGUCAGAGGUGAAAUUCUUGGAUUUAUUGAAGACUAACUACUGCGAAAGCAUUUGCCAAGGAUGUUUUCAUUAAUCAAGAACGAAAGUUAGGGGAUCGAAGACGAUCAGAUACCGUCGUAGUCUUAACCAUAAACUAUGCCGACUAGGGAUCGGAUGAUGUUAAUUUUUUAAUGACUCAUUCGGCGCCUUACG
rnacentral:rRNA from 1 species